CCUUUACCUCACAUACCGGUCUCUUGCUCUCUCCUAAAGGGCAGCACUCUACUCUCUCCUCCAGCUCUGCUUCACUCCCACUUUAAUUAAUUGCUAUUUCCUGUUCUAAUGUGUUUUAUAUCCCACCUCCUAUAGACUGUAAACUCGUUUGAGCAGGGUCCUCUUCAACCUAUCGUUCUUGUAAGAUUUCUGGUAAUUGUCCUAUUUAUAGUUAAAUCCCCCCUUCUCAUAAUAUUGUAAAGUGCUGCGGAAUCUGUUGGCGCUAUAUAAAUGGC